UACAGAGGUCUCAAGCGUUGUUCGGAUUCAUUGGGCGUAAAGGGCGCGUAGGCGGCGGGGUAAGUCGGGUGUGAAAUCUCAGGGCUCAACCCUGAAACUGCACUCGAUAGUGCUCUGCUUGAGGACUGGAGAGGAGACUGGAAUUCACGGUGUAGCAGUGAAAUGCGUAGAUAUCGUGAGGAAGACCAGUGGCGAAGGCGGGUCUCUGGACAGUUCCUGACGCUGAGGCGCGAAGGCCAGGGGAGCAAACGGG
rnacentral:rRNA from 1 species